AUCAUUGUGUGUAAACGGUGCAUCGCACAACUUAUCAAAGUUGGAGUUGGGUUGAAGGUGGUAUCGCAUUGAAUCGCAGCGUCUAAACAGCGUUUCAACUUAUCAUCACAACUAGUUGCUGUGACUUAUCGUUGUGUUUAAACGACGCUUAAAGGAUC